UGCUUUGGCUGUGAGCCGUGUCCCUUAUCACCACAGCUUUCCAUUGGUUAGGCUAUUCUAAUGGAAAAUCUUGUGUAAUUAUGGAAUCUCUGCGUUAAAUGCCAUUGUCUCUAAUCAGUGUUCUCUGGACGUUUACAUGCUGAAGACCAUUACAUCAGACCGCCCAAAGGGGCGGUCCUUAGAAAAACACUGAACCAGCUGGACUGCUUCAUGGCACAGACAUAGCAAAGUAAUCGUGGAAUUUGUCUCGAGCAGAGGGCCUGAGGCGCUUGGACCGCAGCUGAGGACACACUGGCCUGACACCUGGAUGAGAUUGGCCAAUCCCUCCUUGUCCCCCUCUACCUGCUACCUGCUACCAACCUGUCACUGCCUCCACUGGCUCUUUCUCACCAGAAACUUUUCCGUUUCUUCCCAUGACAUCUUUAUUAAAAGACUGAUCUGACCACAGGGUCUUGAAGUGUUAAUAAUUCCUCUAUAGUCAUUAUGGAUCUUGUCUUGAGCCUGCUGGCCAUAGGGAGGGGGUCAGAGACCUGGCAGUGUGGUGCCAGGACAACGACCUCUCCCUCAACGUGAUCAAAACAAAGGAGAUGAUCGUGGACCACAGGAAGAGGAGGGUCAAGUACGCCCUAAUGAACAUCAACGGGGCUGUAGUGUAGCGGGUCCACAUCACCAACAAACUAGCAUGGUCCAAACACACCAAGACAGUUGUGAAGAGGACACGACACUUUUUUCCCCCUCAGUAGACUGAAAAGAUUUGGCAUGGGUCCUCAGAUCCUCAAAAAUGUCGACCGCUGCACAAUCGAGAGCAAGUGCUCAGCAUCCGACCGCAAGGCACUCCACAGGGUAGUGCUUACGGCCCAGUACAUCACUGGGGCAGGAGCAUCAAAUCAUUUUUUAUUUGAUUUCCUACCAUCCAGGACCUCUAUACCAAACGGUGUCAGAGGAAAGCCCUAAAAUUGUCAAAUACUCCAGCCAUCCUAUUCAUAGACUGUUAUCGCAGUACAACUGAUUGGUGUGGUUCUGUCCUCUAUAGUGCUUUCUGGUUAGAACAUGAUGUUGAGGCCCAUCACGGUACUCUUGAUAGUCACAACACACACACACACACACACACACACACACACACACACACACGGAGCUGUGUUUGGUAACCUGAAAUAUACUUGGAAUCUUAUUGCUGUGGUUCUAUAAGACAAUGAUAUUCACACAUGUAAACAGCAUUAGUUAAGGGUUAUAACUAUAAAAUAUACAUACAGUACCAGUCAAAAGUUUGGACUCACCUAUUCAUUCAAGGGUUUUUAUUUAUUUAUUUUUAUGUUUUCAACAUUGUAGAAUUAUAGUGAAGAGAA